GUGGAAUUUUGUUUGAAAUAAAGAAAAAUAUCUUUGAUCAAAUGAAUGACGACUAAGCAUUGAAUAAUUAUUAUGUAGUUGAAGGGUCAAUUUAACAUUGAUUUGAAAACUAAUCAGGACCCAUUAGAGGCGUAAGCAAAGGAGAGAAUAAGAAUACUAAUUUUGAUCAAACCCAACGAAUUUUACAUUUUGAAACUUAAAAUAUGUCACACUCUAAAGGCUAUAAACCAACAAAAUCGAGAUAUUGACUUUUUCGUCGUUACUCUUAUUUUAUUUUAUCCAAAGCUUUUUUUUCAAGAAUUUGGUUGAGGAUAACGCCAAGAGUGUCAACUUCUCGUAUACAAUUAUCUAUGCCUCUCGAAUUAAUUUCAUAUUAUUACGUAAUAUAUGUAAAUUUCUUAUAAAUUGUAAUCAUCUGAUCAUGAAAAUAAAAGACUUAUAAAGUAUGUAUAUAUGUGUAUUAAUUUUACCCCAAUCCAUAACAUUAUAUAAAUCGACUAGUAUUGUUAUAUGUUUGAAUAAGGUUUUUGUGAUAAAUAGACUACAUUGUAUAAACUGGAUGCAAAAUAAAUGAGGUGACAUCAUCAUCUUAAAGUUUAUUGGUUCCAACUUUUGUUUUAGUAGAUAUGGAUUAAUUAACUAACUUCUAAAGUUUUGUUUCUAGAAAACCAUGAACACGAAAGAAGAUCAUGACAUAAUCUUCUAUAUGGACCAACCAUAUCAAAGUAAAACAGAGAUAUAUGGAUCAAUAAAGAUACUGUUGUCAAGAAUGAAUGAAAACGUACUUGGGAUGUCCCAAGGCUCACACU